AACAGAGAAGUGCUUGCACUUUCAAAGUUAGCGGCGGACGGGUGAGUAACACGUAAGGAACCUACCGAUAAGCGGGGGACAACAUCCGGAAACGGGUGCUAAUACCGCAUAGGAAGUUUGUUCGCAUGAACAAACUUAGAAAGAUGGCUCUGCUAUCACUUAUCGAUGGCCUUGUGGUGCAUUAACUAGUUGGCGAGGUAACGGCUCACCAAGGUGAUGAUGCAUAGCCGACCUGAGAGGGUAAUCGGCCACAUUGGGACUGAGACACGGCCCAAACUCCUACGGGAGGCAGCAGUAGGGAAUCUUCCGCAAUGGACGCAAGUCUGACGGAGCAACGCCGCGUGAGUGAAGAAGGUUUUCGGAUCGUAAAACUCUGUUGUAAGAGAAGAACAAAUUGUAGAGUAACCGCUACAGUCUUGACGGUAUCUUACCAGAAAGCCACGGCUAACUACGUGCCGGCAGCCGCGGUAAUACGUAGGUGGCAAGCGUUGUCCGGAUUUAUUGGGCGUAAAGGGGGCGCAGGCUGCUUCUUAAGUCUGAUGUGAAAGCCCACGGCUUAACCGUGGAAGUGCAUUGGAAACUGGGAAGCUUGAGUACAGAAGAGGAAAGUGGAACUCCAUGUGUAGCGGUGGAAUGCGUAGAUAUAUGGAAGAACACCAGUGGCGAAAGCGACUUUCUGGUCUGUCACUGACGCU
rnacentral:rRNA from 1 species